GCAGAUGUAAUCUAGUCUGGCCUAGGAUUGUAGCCUUCCAAGCUACUCGCCCGGGUUCAAAUCCCGGCGUCUGCA
rnacentral:tRNA from 1 species